rnacentral:rRNA from 1 species
GAUGGGCCCGCGCCCGAUUAGCUAGUUGGUGAGGUAACGGCUCACCAAGGCAACGAUCGGUAACCGGCCUGAGAGGGCGAUCGGUCACACCGGAACUGAGACACGGUCCGGACUCCUACGGGAGGCAGCAGUGGGGAAUCUUGCGCAAUGGGCGAAAGCCUGACGCAGCAACGCCGCGUGGAGGAUGAAGGCCUUUGGGUUGUAAACUCCUGUCGGCUGGGAAGAAAUCGUACGGUGCUCAUACCACCGUGCGUUGACUGUACCAGCAAAGGAAGCCCCGGCUAACUCUGUGCCAGCAGCCGCGGUAAUACAGAGGGGGCCAGCGUUAUUCGGAAUUAUUGGGCGUAAAGGGCGCGUAGGCGGCCAUGCGUGUCUUCCGUGAAAUCCCUCGGCUUAACUGAGGACGUGCGGAAGAAACUGCAAGGCUCGAGUCCGGGAGAGGGGGGUGGAAUUCCCAGUGUAGCGGUGAAAUGCGUAGAUAUUGGGAGGAACACCGGUGGCGAAGGCGGCCCCCUGGACCGGUACUGACGCUGAGGCGCGAAAGCGUGGGUAGCAAACGGGAUUAGAUACCCCGGUAGUCCACGCCGUAAACGAUGGGCACUUGGUGU